rnacentral:rRNA from 1 species
AACGCUAGCUACAGGCUUAACACAUGCAAGUCGAGGGGAAACGACAUCGAAAGCUUGCUUUUGAUGGGCGUCGACCGGCGCACGGGUGAGUAACGCGUAUCCAACCUGCCCACCACUUGGGGAUAACCUUGCGAAAGUAAGACUAAUACCCGAUGAUAUCCCUAGACGACAUCUGAAAGGGAUUAAAGAUUUAUCGGUGAUGGAUGGGGAUGCGUCUGAUUAGCUUGUUGGCGGGGUAACGGCCCACCAAGGCAACGAUCAGUAGGGGUUCUGAGAGGAAGGUCCCCCACAUUGGAACUGAGACACGGUCCAAACUCCUACGGGAGGCAGCAGUGAGGAAUCUUGGUCAAUGGGCGCAAGGCCUGAACCAGCCACGUAGCGUGAAGGAAGACUGCCCUUAGGGUUGUAAACUUCUUUUAUAAGGGAAUAAAGUGAGUCUCGUGAGACUUUUUGCAUGUACCUUAUGAAUAAGGACCGGCUAAUUCCGUGCCAGCAGCCGCGGUAAUUCGGAAGGUCCGGGCGUUAUCCGGAUUUAUUGGGUUUAAAGGGAGCGUAGGCCGGAGAUUAAGCGUGUUGUGAAAUGUAGUGGCUCAACCUCUGCACUGCAGCGCGAACUGGUCUUCUUGAGUACGCACAGCGUGGGCGGAAUUCGUGGUGUAGCGGUGAAAUGCUUAGAUAUCACGAAGAACUCCGAUUG